rfam:Cuculus canorus isolate BGI_N303 unplaced genomic scaffold scaffold28, whole genome shotgun sequence.
UGCAAAUGAUGCUAACUUUGUUGUCUUUGAUACUAAUUUGAUGACAACCACCAAGAUCGCUGAUGCA